rnacentral:rRNA from 1 species
CCUACGGGCGGCAGCAGUGAGGAAUAUUGGUCAAUGGACGAGAGUCUGAACCAGCCAAGUAGCGUGAAGGAUGACUGCCCUAUGGGUUGUAAACUUCUUUUAUAUGGGAAUAAAACGUUCCACGUGUGGGAUUUUGUAUGUACCAUAUGAAUAAGGAUCGGCUAACUCCGUGCCAGCAGCCGCGGUAAUACGGAGGAUUCGAGCGUUAUCCGGAUUUAUUGGGUUUAAAGGGAGCGUAGGUGGAUUGUUAAGUCAGGUGUGAAAGUGUGCGGCUCAACCGUAAAAUUGCAGUUGAAACUGGCAGUCUUGAGUACAGUAGAGGUAGGCGGAAUUCGUGGUGUAGCGGUGAAAUGCUUAGAUAUCACGAAGAACUCCGAUUGCGAAGGCAGUUCACUGGACUGCAACUGACACUGAGGCUCGAAAGUGUGGGUAUCAAACAGGAUUAGAUACCCCUGUAGUC